AAUUCAUAUAUGUAUAAAUUUUUAUUCAGCAGUAAAGCAUGAUGUGACGUAAAGGACAAUUAUUUUGCACCUGCUUCUAUUCUUUCCCUUUAGCGAGAACAGAAAAUCCUUGCAGCAGCCACCUUCCCCAGCCUCCAGUGGCAUCCUCUUACUCUGGCCUGAGCUCUGUGUAGAACGUCUUCCCAAUGUUCAGGAAUUCACUUCUCUGGAGGAAAAAGCAGAGGACUUGAAAAAGAGAGUUUGGAAACCAUCUGAGGAGGGCCAGCUUGGUUCUCCUUCCACCAUCUAGGUAAACAGUCCCUGGAGAGAGGUCAGAAAGGUCUUUGGAGAGGACAGUAGAUUGACUUAUGAAUUCUAGAUGAGAGAAGGUAGAGGCAGCCCUCUUCCCCAGGCCCGGAUGACCCUUGAGAGUGG
rnacentral:lncRNA from 1 species